rnacentral:rRNA from 1 species
UACGGGGGGGGCAAGCGUUGUUCGGAAUUACUGGGCGUAAAGGGCUCGUAGGCGGCCAACUAAGUCAGACGUGAAAUCCCUCGGCUUAACCGGGGAGCUGCAUCUGAUACUGGAUGGCUUGAGUUCGGGAGAGGGAUGCGGAAUUCCAGGUGUAGCGGUGAAAUGCGUAGAUAUGACAUAGAACACCGAUUGCGAAGGCAGCUCGCUACACCUGCAUUGACUCUGAGGCACGAAAGCGUGGGGAUCAAACAGG